rnacentral:rRNA from 1 species
UACGUAGGGGGCAAGCGUUAUCCGGAUUUACUGGGUGUAAAGGGAGCGUAGACGGCAGCGCAAGUCUGGAGUGAAAUGCCGGGGCUCAACCCCGGAACUGCUUUGGAAACUGUGCAGCUAGAGUGCGGGAGAGGUAAGCGGAAUUCCUAGUGUAGCGGUGAAAUGCGUAGAUAUUAGGAGGAACACCAGUGGCGAAGGCGGCUUACUGGACCGUAACUGACGUUGAGGCUCGAAAGCGUGGGGAGCAAACAGG